GUGCUCGCUUCGGCAGCACAUAUACUAAAAAAUUGGAACGAUAGAGAGAAGAUUAGCAUAGCCCCUGCGCAAGGAUGACACACAAAUUCGUGAAGCGUUCCAUAUUUUU
rnacentral:snRNA from 1 species